GGUAGGGAAACACCCGGUCUCAUCCCGAACCCGGAAGUUAAGCCUGCCACGUGCUAUUGAGUACUAUGGUGCGCGAGCCCAUGGGAAAGAUACCCCGCAAGGGGCUUGGA
rnacentral:rRNA from 1 species